UAAGCUCGUAUCUAUCCCGGCGCUUAGCACGGCGCCUGGCUCGUAGUAAGCGAUUCAGAAAUACCACGGAAAAAAUGGUCUGAAGAAAACGGUAGCCAAGUAUCAGCUUAGAUCUGGGGAGCCCUCCACACGACCAGAGCUUUUCGUUGGCAGAACAGAACGCCAAAUUGGGCUUCCUAGGCAGAACGGUCCCCUCUCAGGGUGGCACCUGGAGAGUUUCCAGUACUCUGCCGGUCUCGGCUACGGGAGGGAGAGUCAAGCAGAGGCCUGUCUGUCUCAUUCCUAGCUUGGCCAGUGGCUAGCGAGUGGAAGGCCAUUUGCUACAAUUCAAAACCCCUCCGUGCCGGGCAGCGGCGGCACGGGACAGAGUCGAGGGCGGGGACUCGAGUUUACCGCGCGGAAGGAGGCGACGGUAAACCGCCUCUGGAUUUUUACCAAGGAGACUCUACGGAUCCACUCCCGGAAGGGUUGCGGAUGGAGAGUGUGCCCGUGGUGUCGCUGCGGGUCGGAAACGACUCGACGGCAUAAGACAGCGGACCUCCGUCGGGGGGUAUUUACGGAGCGCUUUCUCUGGGCGGAGCCCCGUGUUCGGGGCUUGGGAAAACGAGCUAGAAAGGGGGACCGUAAAGGCCGGAGGCCGCAAACCUGACUGGCGACGGGGGUGGCGGGGGACCUCCGAUCCCAAACCGGCGGCCUCCCGGAACGUGGCGAAAUCCAACCGUCUGUGGGCUGGGAGCCCCGGACCGACUUCAGAGACAAACCAGCUCCCGGAACUACUUUAUCAGCACCGACGACAAAUCGCCCGGGACGGUCCCCCGCGCUGCACGCGGUAAGAACGCAGAAGACGCCAUGGAUGACGACGACAGGAUAACUGACAGCAAAGCCCUGAAAUCCAGGCGGUGAGCAGCAUCGGGCGAGAGCUCGGUCGCCGGGCGGCACAGAUAAGACGAGUGGACGACCGCCACUUAGGCAGGCGGAAACGAGCGGCCCCGAAGCAACGCGGCCUUGCGGAAAGAGCCCGGGCCUGGGAGUCAGAGGACCCGGGUUCUCCUUCCGGCGCUGCCGCUGGCCUCCUGUUUGACCUCAGAGUCAGAGCAAGCAGCAGUUCUGAAUUUUAGCUCCAAUCCAGCUGGAAGCAUAAAAUGCGGCCAGAGACGGCACCGAGCAAAAGGAGCCUAUUUACAUUCAUUCCCGAAAACCUGAAUCGCCUCCGCUUCCGGCGUCCCUCCCACCAAAGAGAAGGUGUUCACGUGUUCCUCCCAUUCGGGGAGGAUUGAUUCCGGAGGGCUUUAACCUUCCCAGGGAGAGCGCAGAGGGGCCGAGCCCUGGCGGGACCCCACUCGCUCAGCAACUGAUUCCCAGCCUGCCUCUCCCUACUCUAACCCAAAGAAGCACCAGUUUCCUGCAAAACGAGGGCUUUGGGAGAAAGGGUGGAAUGUCCCUUCAUCCCCUCCGCCGCCCCCACCCCUUUCACCAAGCUUAAGACCCCAGAUGGGUGGAGACUGGUUUCUGCGCCCGGAUGGAUCGUUCCCACACCGCCCGAGGCCCCGGUUGCGGGCCGGGGGGCAGCAGGAGGGGCCGGGUCUGCGCCCGGCUCCGGACCGCGGAGCUCAGUCCCCAGUCACUCCGGGAGAGACCCGUUUUCGAGGGUCGGUGGGAAAACCGGACGGAUGAGCUAAGAUGACGGCUCAGACGCCGGGCCUCAUUCUCUCUGAGGCUCGCUAUCGUCGUUUUGGCCCGGAUGCCCCCGCCUGCUGAAUUCCGACACAGGCCGGCACAGAGAGGGCCCGGAAAUCCCUCCUCGGGCCCGGCCCCGGCCCCGUUUUCCCCAGGAUGGAAUCCACCGGCUGUCCCGGGGAACGUUUGCCGGAGCCGUCUCUUUCGAAGCGGUCGGACUGACCGCCCGCCCCGGGCGACAAACGCCCCCUCCCCCAAAUCGACGGACCUGUUUCCCAACUAGCCUCGGGGCAGACGGCUCCCCGGCCACGCCACCACUCCGCCGACCCUGGACGGAGGAACCCGGCUCUGCUUGCGUCAGCCUCGAACCGGACAACUCCGGAAAGAACCGGUGGUCUUUCGUACCACAGGUUAACGUUCGGGGUGGGGGCUGCCCACCCGCACGCCCGACAGCGCCCUCCCAACGCCUCCUCGGUUCACUCCUCUCAUUACGUCGGACAGUUCUGAAACAAGUCCUCGCGGGAGGCUCUGUCGAGAUCAGAGGAGAAGGUGCACGUUAGAGAAAAUACAGUAUAUUUUUGCAGGCAA